UCUUUUUCGUCUUUAUUUCAUAACAUGUUAUAAUGUAGGAUUGACUGUUUUAUUUCAGAUCAGCCUUCAACACCAACAACCCAAACGUCCUCCACCAGAAGCUCACCCAGUUCACAGUGCCUGUCAGUGGAUCACCAGCUUCCUGACUGACCAGCAGCAACAGAUGACAACACUGUUACUGGUCCUCUCCAGGACAGUGAUGGUUAACUGGUGCCGUCAGAACCACCCAGAGCUUAACCCACUAAAGACCGUGGAGAUGACGGUGGACUUCCUCCCCUCACCAUUCUCAACACUACUACUGUUGAUCGUUUCCACUGCAUAGGAACCACCCUUUCUUGGGAGUUGAGCCCUCAAACUUAGACACUCUUUUCUAUGUGAAUAGACAACUCAAGAUAUACAACCUUCCCCAGGAGCUAAUGGUCAUCUUCUACACUCCCAUUGUUCAGUCUGUCCUGUGUUCGUCCUUCACUGUGUGGCUCAUCCUAACUGCAACAAACAUCAGGUCUGUGGAGAGGAUCACAAAGGCUCACAUUCCCUCCAUCCAGGACUAAGGGUCUAGGGUCAGGACAAGGGCAGCUAACAUCUUUGCAGACCCUACACAUCCUGGACACAAAGUAACAUUUUACUUCGGGUUUGUGCUCCCAAGCCCUUUUUGCUAACCCCCCCCCCCCAAGAAAAACAGCCGCCACAGAGACAGUUUCUCUGAUAAACAGUAAACGGUAAAAACAUUCCAAACACUAAAACUUAAAUAUCUUAGAAUAUGAAACAUUUUCAACCAAAACCUUACAUUAUGAACAGAACUUUGCACUUUCUCUAAAAACAAACACUGACAUAUUGAGAAAGUUCUGGACAAUUUGUUCCAUACAUCCGUAACAGUGGCGGGUGUGAACACAACAUGAGUGGUAAGCUGCUAACAACGCUGAAGUUAGCUUCACUUUAGAGCUAAAUUUUGGGUUGAUAAUAAUGUCUUUACAUUUUAUGUAGAAUGGUAGACAAUACAAACAAUUUGGGAGUAUUUUAAAAGUACCGUACCUGGCUAACUGUUAGCUGCUAGCAAUGCUGAAGUUACUGUUUUAGAUUCCUAUUGGAGCUACACUAAAGGGCUAUUUCUCAGUGUUUGAUUGCAUCUGGAGAGUACAUUUAUCAUCUUUAGGUUAUAAUGCCAAAAGAAGAAAAAAAAAAUCUAAACUGGAUAAUUCUACACUUAUAGGUUCAGUAAAAUACAACUUGUAGACCUAAUUAGUAAAAUUAAUGAAAAAAGGGGGAUUCUUUUUCUUUUUUUCCAAAAAUAUUGCUAAAAUCUUGUUUUAUCCUCAUGGACCCUACAUUGUGUAUUGUAUUAUAUCAUGAACAGGAUGUAUUGUUACACUCGUAGGGCUAACUGUUAUUUUCUUGUAAUUAACUUAUACAAGCUUGAAUUUAAGUAAUUUGUUUUCUGUUUCAUAACUGCAAAAUAAUCACAUCUGAAUCAAAAACUAACUUACAUUCUUAGACUAUGUCACAUAAAGAACAAAACAUAACACAGUCCUUUGCAUGGGAAAAAUAACUAAGACAGGUUUAGCCUGUUGAACAUCUUACCAACCUCCCAUGACCUCUUUAGACUUUAAUAAAUCAGUAAGGCUCUACCAGAACACCAGACAGCUGAUAUGCAAGCUGAAUAUUCUGUCUCCCUGUCUGCCUGGGCAUAUAGAAUAUUUUAUCUUGCACUGGUAAAACAAUGGGAAAUGUGUGAAUAUCAAAUUAUUAGGCUAAUAUAAAAAACUAAUUUGCUGACACACUUCUUAAAUUUAAAACUAGAUAUGCUCUGUAAUUUGUAAAAAAAAAAAUAAAAAUAAAAAAUAGUCCAUCUGUACUGUAAUGUCUCCUAUCAAGGUUACUCUGAAGAGAGCAAACCUGACUAGUGCGAAGGAUGCGCAUCUGCACCGUCUAUGGUGGAUCUGCAGGGGCACCUUAAAGGCUUAAGCCCAUUUCUGUCAGCAUUGUAAUGCCUGGGGAGCUGAAGCAAAGCAGAGAGUGAGGCGAGCUGAGAAUGUUUAUCUUGAUCCAUAUUCUCACAUUGAUCAAUCCCUGGUGGAAGUGCGGCUCACCAGAGACAAUAAUGACCCUGAUCCGGGCACUCGGCAUGUCUCUGUUUUGUUAAGUUCCCCGCGUUAUCGAUCCAGUGGGGCUCUUGAGUGCUGCUUGGAUUCACUCCCAGGCCAUCUCUCCUCGGCACACAGCAGUGACCAGGCACAAAGAAGGCUCAAUUAGCACCGGCUCUGCGUUGUCUGCUCCCCCACCUUCAAAAUCACUCCAUCAACUGGUAGAAAGGGAGGAAGGAAAAGGGGGGCCGGUGGGAGGAGGGGUGGGGUGUGAAAAGACGGGAUAGGAAAGCUAGAGAAAGAGAGAGAAAUUGAACGCUUGAGGAGAAGGGAAGCGCUGACCGUGUUACCUGGGACAAGGGAGCAAUGCCAAGGUUUUACGUCAAAUCAAGACUCCGAAGCGGCGGCUGCGCCUUAUGUUAAUGACGCCUCCUCUGCAGGAAAGCAUACAGAACAACCCGGCAGCAACGACACACAAGAGGAACACAAGUGACAAUUUCCUGCACAGGCUGUAAAUGCACACAAGGAAAAGUGGCAAACUGACUCCAGGAGACGGAGGAAUUUCACUAGACCUCGAAUUAACCCCACCACAUCGCCACAGUAGGCAGGGUAUCCUAAAGUGUCUGCCGGUAGCUCUGGGUGAUAACAGCACAGUAAAACUGACAUGUGGUGGAAUAAUUCUCCGCUGAUUCUGGUGAGGCAGUGUGAGGUCUCUGGGCUGCCAAGACGCCCUGUGAUCCUAACCGAACCUGGCAUGUGCCGUUAAUGUUGCAGACAUGUUGUCAGCUGAUUUGGGCAAGGUGGCGGAGAGACAUUAUUGGCUCGUACGGGAGGGUGAAUCAUAAGCAAAGUCAAAAAAAAAAA